UCUGGCAGUGAUGACACUCUUGCCCUCACUGACACACUGAGGUGUGGUGAUGAGAGCCAGCUCUGUGCUGAGCCCUGAGCCAGA